AGCGUAGGCGGAACUACAAGACAGGGGUCAAAUCUCCGGGCUCAACCUGGAACUUGCCUUUGUGACUGUGGUUCUUGAGUAUGGUAGAGGUUGGCGGAAUUUCCGGUGUAGCGGUGGAAUGCGUAGAGAUCGGAAAGAACACCAGAGGCGAAGGCGGCCAACUGGACCAAUACUGACGCUGAGGCUCGAAAGCGUGGGGAGCAAACAGGAUUAGAUACCUUGGUAGUCCACGCUGUAAACGAUGAACACUAGAUGUCGGGAGGGGUUCCUUCCGGUGUCGUCGCUAACGCAGUAAGUGUUCCGCCUGGGGAGUACGCUCGCAAGGGUGAA
rnacentral:rRNA from 1 species